UGCCCCCUUUUCACUUUGCCAGUUGGACUUAUGUCUUUAUUGGUCAUUCAAGUGGGGCAAAGGAAAUAUCCUUUUAAAACUCAGGCAAACUGGGUGUUUGUCUGUAUCCUGUCAGAGGAAACAAAU
ensembl:snoRNA SNORA27 small nucleolar RNA, H/ACA box 27